UACAGAGGUCCCAAGCGUUGUUCGGAUUUACUGGGCGUAAAGGGCGCGUAGGCGGUCUUGCAAGUCCCGUGUGAAAUCCCUCGGCUCAACUGAGGAACUGCACGGGAAACUGCUUGGCUUGAGUUCGGGAGAGGGAAGCGGAAUUCCGGGUGUAGCGGUGAAAUGCGUAGAUAUCUGGAGGAACACCGGUGGCGAAGGCGACAUCCUGGACCGGUAUUGACGCUGAGGCGCGAAAGCCAGGGGAGCAAACGGG
rnacentral:rRNA from 1 species